rnacentral:rRNA from 1 species
UCCGGUGGCGAUGCGUUUAUGGGAAACACCCGUUCCCAUCCCGAACACGAUGGUUAAGCCAUAAACGGCCGAAGAUACUUAGCUGGUAACGGCUCGGGAAAAUAGGUGGCUGCCGGAU